rnacentral:lncRNA from 1 species
GUCUGAUCUCCCUGUGCAGGCAAAGAAGCAAAAGCAUGGGUCACAGGGCCUUAGUAAGGGAAAAUUUCAGAGUGGAGCUAUAGCUAGGGCUGAAGCAAAAAACAUUAUUAUGGGACAAGAGAGCUUUCAAGUAUUUUAGCUAUGGGUGAACAGAACCAUAUUUGCUGUUUUGCAACUGGAAGGCACCUAUAUGGCUUCUGUAGGAACCUCUGAGCACUAGGAUGUUUCAAGAUUUAAAUUGUUAGUGCAAGGCCCUGGGAGGCUGGGCAUUGAUGGGUGGCCCCAAAUUCUGUUCUGUAUUCAGGGCCAAGGAUAAAAAUGGAGGGACUAUGCUUAUGUUUAGGUGGCUUUCUCGUCUCUCGUAUGUGGACUUAAGGUGGUUCUGGAUUGGCAAAUUACUUAGAACCGAGGAAUAUUCCUCAGGAGGCCCAUUUCUGAAGUAAGGAAAGUUAUAGUGAGAAGAGGCACUGAAAAUGUCUGCUCAUGUGGGUGCUGCAUCACUAGAAAGAACCCAUAUUCAAUUUGGAACUAUGGAAGGUAGAAAUUAAGAGGUUUUAAUAAACUCCAUGGGAAAGAAAAACAAGACAAGAUCUGGUAAUUCAAUAUCCUUGUGGAAAGAAGAAUCUAGAUGGCACUGCACUAGCGACCCUGGGGUGGCGGUGGCUGAGGCACUCAUUGGAGGAAGAUAGAAGAUUCUUAUUAGAAGGAUAGUCCUUGAAUAUCAAAGGUGCUUGAGAUUUUCAAACUCAUCAACUUUUAGAGGAAAAUAAGUGUUAUGGGAAACAUCAGCUUUGAAAUCAGAAAAGUCUAUGUUUCGAUCUCAGCUGUGCCGCCGGAGAGCCUAUGGAUUUGUGGAGUACAUAGCAUGUUGGACACAAAUUGAUGGUAAUGAUUGUUGUUUGUAUUGUUAAUUUCUCCUUUUGUGUAACAUACUGUGUGACCUUGUUACUUAAUAUUUUUACCCUUCUGCUUUCUUAUUGCAGCAGAAUGAUACCCACCCAAUAGGAUCAAAUAAGAAUUCAAAUUUGGAACCUUGUAGGUGACAAGUGACAGGAUGACUUGUAUCAGAUUUAACUGUGUCAUUCUGCUCACUGUUAAUUCUUGUCUCUAGCCUGAACAUGGCAGCAUUUUAUCUCCUAAACGCCUUGAUAUACAUAUAUAAAUAUCUACAUGUUGUUCAGCCCAGACCUGUGGAAAUGUCAUAGAAGAACAUUCUUGAUGGCAUAGCAUUCAAAGAACUCUUUGAAUAAUUCUAGAAAAGUCUUAUGGAUUUUUAGAAUUCCUUUGGGGUUGGUAAAUAUUAGCUAG